GAUGAACGCUGGCGGCGUGCUUAACACAUGCAAGUCGAACGGGAAGGCUCCUGCUUGCAGGGGUACUCGAGUGGCGAACGGGUGAGUAACACGUGGGUGAUCUGCCCUGCACUUCGGGAUAAGCCUGGGAAACUGGGUCUAAUACCGGAUAGGACCACAUUUUGGAUGGUGUGGUGGAAAGUUUUUCGGUGUGGGAUGAGCUCGCGGCCUAUCAGCUUGUUGGUGGGGUAAUGGCCUACCAAGGCGUCGACGGGUAGCCGGCCUGAGAGGGUGUACGGCCACAUUGGGACUGAGAUACGGCCCAGACUCCUACGGGGGGCAGCAGUGGGGAAUAUUGCACAAUGGGCGCAAGCCUGAUGCAGCGACGCCGCGUGGGGGAUGACGGCCUUCGGGUUGUAAACUCCUUUCGCUAGGGACGAAGCGUUUUUGUGACGGUACCUGGAGAAGAAGCACCGGCUAACUACGUG
rnacentral:rRNA from 1 species